rnacentral:rRNA from 1 species
GCGCUCGAUGAUGGACCGUGGAUGUUUGACAAGGAUCUGGUUGUCGUUGAGGAUUAUGACCCGGGGAAACGUCUAGAGGACUACGAGUUCAAUGAAAUCCCAGUUUGGGUGAGAGUCUUCAGUCUCCCUUUAGGGAUGAUGAAUGAGGAGGCGGCAGAAGAGAUAGGCAAUCUUAUUGGGCGCUUUGUGGAAGUGGAUGCUGGGGCGGAUGGGAAGGCCAUCGGAAAGUAUAUGAGGGUCAAGGUUAGGAUGAAUAUUGAGAAGCCGAUUAUGAGAGGCUUUACACUAGAGGAGGAGGAGGAUCAGCUGAAUCAGAAACAAAAGAAGAAGAUGAAUAUUGAUGGCACUGGGGAAGAGGAGGAGGAGGAGGGGCUAUGGUGUCGAUUCGAGUAUGAAUUCAUGUCUGACUUCUGCUAUACAUGCGGUAUCAUUGGGCAUGGAGAUAAAGAUUGCUCGAUCAGAUUGGAGAAGGGGGAGAAAGCGCAAUUUGGUAGCUGGUUGAAAGCUAAUGUUGGGAGACGUAGAGCGGGCAGUGAGGAUAGCUAG